rnacentral:snoRNA from 1 species
AGUCUGUGAUGAUAAACUUAAGGCUUGUUUCUCAAACAUUCGCAGUGGCCGCCCGAGAGUUUUCACCCCGCCAGGCUUGAGAAUUGAUGCGGUUUUAUCCUUCCUUGGAUGUCUGAGACU